AGCUCCAAUAGCGUAUAUUAAAGUUGUUGCGGUUAAAAAGCUCGUAGUUGGAUUUCUGCUUGGGAGGACCGGUCCGCCCUCAGGGUGAGCAUCUGGUUUUUCCUGGGCAUCCUCUUGGGGAACGUUGCUGCAAUUGAGUUUGUGGUGCGGUACCCAGGACUUUUACUUUGAGGAAAUUAGAGUGUUUCAAGCAGGCAUUUGCCUUGAAUACAUUAGCAUGGAAUAAUAGGAUAGGACCUUGUUUCUACCUUGUUGGUUCGUAGAGAUGAGGUAAUGGUUAAUAGGGAUAGUCGGGGGCAUUCGUACUUAACUGUCAGAGGUGAAAUUCUUGGAUUUGUUAAAGACGAACUACUGCGAAAGCAUUUGCCAAGGAUGUUUUCA
rnacentral:rRNA from 1 species